rnacentral:rRNA from 1 species
GACAGAGGAUGCAAGCGUUACCCGGAAUGAUUGGGCGUAAAGCGUCUGUAGGUGGCUUUUUAAGUCUGCCGUCAAAUCCCAGGGCUUAACCCUGGACAGGCGGUGGAAACUACCAAGCUGGAGUACGGUAGGGGCAGGGGGAAUUUCCGGUGGAGCGGUGAAAUGCGUAGAGAUCGGAAAGAACACCAACGGCGAAAGCACUCUGCUGGGCCGACACUGACACUGAGAGACGAAAGCUAGGGGAGCGAAUGGG